UCGAGUGGCUGCUCGAGUG
rnacentral:siRNA from 1 species